rnacentral:lncRNA from 1 species
CGGCGACGUCACAGUGGCGCUACAGUGCCUGGAGCUGCGCUGGUUUUUCCUCGGAGUGGAGCCUGGUAACCGCGACUUCCCCGCCAUGUUCUGUGUGUUGCUGGCUGGAGAAGGGUGGUUGACAAACUCCGACCCAGCACAGUGUUUCUGUGGGUCAAAACUAGAAAACUAUGUCCAGGCUCGGCCGAGGCGGAAGGAUCCGUUCAGGCCAGGAGUUAAAGAGCUGCCUGGGCAACAUGGCGCGACCCCAUCUCUGUAGUCCCACCUCAGCUUCCCAGAUACUUGAACCCCAAGGUUCAAGGCUGCAAUGAGCUAUGAUCCCAUCACAGCACUCCAUCCUGCGAGACGGAGGACCUGCGGAGCAGCCAGGCUUCAUGAGUUAAAUGCAGAUCUGAACCAUACCCAGUUGGGAUUGGGGUACACACUCUACUCCUCUGAAAACUAGCUAGGGGUUCGAACUUGGUGAGAGGGAGAGUGGGACAGAGCCAGACCAGACAAGGACUGAUCACCUGGAAAAACCUGCCAUCAAAGACCUUGACGAGUGCUGGGGGCGGUGGCUCAUGCCUGUAAUCCCAACACUUUGGGAGGCUGAGACAGGUGGAUCACUUGAGGCCAGGAGUUCGAGUCCCGCCUGGGCAACAUGGCAAAACCCUGUCUCUACUAAAAAUACAAAAAUUAGCUA